CCUCAUCUGUGACCACACGCGUGUUGAUUGGCCAUGAAGACCCCAUGCAAGCUGAACCCAGAGAAGCGGCAUCCCCUCCACUGUGUAGACGCACAGCGAGGGCCAGGAUGUCACACAGGGAAACUCAACGCUGGAAACUUUCAGAACGACACACUUGUGUUCAAGCAGCAUGACAGUAAAAAAGCGGAGCGAGUCAGAGAGGUAAAUGCUGACGGCUGGAGACUUCUCGUCUCUCUGCUUUAACUGGCUAAGGUCUUUUUUGUUGGUAUAAAAAUAUGCAUGAGAGGGAGAGAAAGAGAAAUGCUGACCAUUUUUCCCGGCCUCUCCAGUCGUCAAAAAACAGACGUGCGGAGGAACCCGACAGCCAUGAAAUAAAUUAAUGCAAUGUGCCAAUCAAAACAGAUGGAGAGUUUCAGACAAUUACAGAGUUCCUUCUUAAACUUGUAAGAAAAAAACUGCACAACUUUCUUAAUGUCUUCAUUUUUUUCUUUCAGUACAUGAUUGCAUGCAUUCAUAGUAUUUCAAUAUCUUUUUUUACCUGCAUGGCUGUUGAAUUUUGUGAAAAUCGCUAAACCAUUUUUGCAUUAAUGGAAAUGUCCAUCAAUUUAUACUUUAGUUCUUGCUGCGUGAUUGCAGGUAACUAAUUACAUGCAAUUUAAAAUGAUGUGGAUGUGACAAAAUAUCACUUCAAUAACACUAAUAUAUGCUUUAGACAUAAAUUGCUUGAUUAAAUAUGCUCAUUUCUAACUUCAUACUUGUAUUUUUGACCAUCAAACCUCACUGGAUAAGCAAGUUUGUCAUCUUAAACCCAAGCACACAGUAUUUUAAACACAAGUUUUAAUGCUUUAUGACCAAAUAACAUUUGAGUAUUUCUGAUGUUUCUUGAAAUUGAAUAUGUAAUUUGUGUUAGUUAGCUUUCAUUAUAUUCUUGAGUAUUAUUCAUGCGAAUUUGUAUUUAAGUUAAGUAGUAUUGGACCUAAAUACACUGAGAGAGAGAAAAAAAUCAUUUUCAUUUCAAAUUCAUCUUAAUUUUAUUUUUAUUUAUUUUUUAAUUUAACAUUUUUUAUUGGUUUUCAUUUUGCAUUUCUUUUAUUUCAUUAUUUGUUUUUGUUUUUUAAGUUGUAA
rnacentral:lncRNA from 12 species